GAACGCUAGCUACAGGCUUAACACAUGCAAGUCGAGGGGCAUCAGGAAGAAAGCUUGCUUUCUUUGCUGGCGACCGGCGCACGGGUGAGUAACACGUAUCCAACCUGCCCUUUACUCGGGGAUAGCCUUUCGAAAGAAAGAUUAAUACCCGAUGGGAUAAUUAUUCCGCAUGGUUUGAUUAUUAAAGGAUUCCGGUAAAGGAUGGGGAUGCGUUCCAUUAGGUUGUUGGUGAGGUAACGGCUCACCAAGCCUUCGAUGGAUAGGGGUUCUGAGAGGAAGGUCCCCCACAUUGGAACUGAGACACGGUCCAAACUCCUACGGGAGGCAGCAGUGAGGAAUAUUGGUCAAUGGGCGCUAGCCUGAACCAGCCAAGUAGCGUGAAGGAUGAAGGCUCUAUGGGUCGUAAACUUCUUUUAUAUAAGAAUAAAGUGCAGUAUGUAUACUGUUUUGUAUGUAUUAUAUGAAUAAGGAUCGGCUAACUCCGUGCCAGCAGCCGCGGUAAUACGGAGGAUCCGAGCGUUAUCCGGAUUUAUUGGGUUUAAAGGGAGCGUAGGUGGACUGGUAAGUCAGUUGUGAAAGUUUGCGGCUCAACCGUAAAAUUGCAGUUGAUACUGUCAGUCUUGAGUACAGUAGAGGUGGGCGGAAUUCGUGGUGUAGCGGUGAAAUGCUUAGAUAUCACGAAGAACUCCGAUUGCGAAGGCAGCUCACUGGACUGCAACUGACACUGAUGCUCGAAAGUGUGGGUAUCAAACAGGAUUAGAUACCCUGGUAGUCCACACAGUAAACGAUGAAUACUCGCUGUUUGCGAUAUACAGUAAGCGGCCAAGCGAAAGCAUUAAGUAUUCCACCUGGGGAGUACGCCGGCAACGGUGAAACUCAAAGGAAUUGACGGAAGGGCGAAU
rnacentral:rRNA from 1 species